GAUGAACGCUGGCGGCGUGCCUAAUACAUGCAAGUCGAGCGAACAGACGAGGAGCUUGCUCCUCUGACGUUAGCGGCGGACGGGUGAGUAACACGUGGAUAACCUACCUAUAAGACUGGGAUAACUUCGGGAAACCGGAGCUAAUACCGGAUAAUAUAUUGAACCGCAUGGUUCAAUAGUGAAAGACGGUUUUGCUGUCACUUAUAGAUGGAUCCGCGCCGCAUUAGCUAGUUGGUAAGGUAACGGCUUACCAAGGCAACGAUGCGUAGCCGACCCAAGAGGGUGAUCGGCCACACUGGAACUGAGACACGGUCCAGACUCCUACGGGAGGCAGCAGUAGGGAAUCUUCCGCAAUGGGCGAAAGCCUGACGGAGCAACGCCGCGUGAGUGAUGAAGGUCUUCGGAUCGUAAAACUCUGUUAUUAGGGAAGAACAAAUGUGUAAGUAACUAUGCACGUCUUGACGGUACCUAAUCAGAAAGCCACGGCUAACUACGUG
rnacentral:rRNA from 1 species